rnacentral:rRNA from 1 species
AGGACGAACGCUGGCGGCGUGCCUAACACAUGCAAGUCGAACGAGGUCCAUCAGGUGGCAACACCUGGGAAGACCUAGUGGCGAACGGGUGAGUAACACGUGGGCAACCUGCCCUCAGCUCUGGGAUAACCCCGGGAAACCGGGGCUAAUACCGGAUACGACCUCCACGGGCAUCUGCGGAGGUGGAAAGGUUUUUCCGGCUGAGGAUGGGCCCGCGGCCUAUCAGCUAGUUGGUGGGGUGAUGGCCCACCAAGGCGACGACGGGUA